rnacentral:snRNA from 1 species
GAACCGGAAGCCGGGUUACGG